CUCCGGACGCCAUUUUGGAUUUAUUCACCUGCCCAGGUGUGCGGGGACACCUGAGACCAUCAGGUGGGGGAGGGGCCGUGGGGGAGGGGCCAGCUGAGAGCAGCCAGGUGAGGUUCAGGUGAGGGGUUCCAGGUGAGAGCGGCCAGGUGAGGUUCAGGUGAGGAGGUCCAGGUGAGGGGUUCCAGUUGAAGAUUCCAGGUGAGGGGUUCCAGGUGAGAGAGGCCAGGUGAGCAGCUCCAGGUGAGAAGUUUCAGGUGAGGGGUUCCAGGUGAGGAGGCUCAGGUGAGCAGUUCCAGAUGAGAGCAGCCAGGUGAGGUUCAGGUGAAGUGUUCCAGGUGAAGAUUCCAGGUGAGGGGUUCCAGGUGAGGGGUUCCAGGUGAUCUCCAGGCUCCUCCAGGUGAGCUCCACCAGGUGAGGGGUUCAACGUGAGGAAUUCCAGGUGAAGGAUUGCAGGUGAUCUCCAGGGUCCAGGUGAGCUCCAGGUGAGCUCCAGGUGAGCUCCAGGUGAGCUCCAGGUGAGCUCCACCAGGUGAGUUCAGGGGCCGUCGUCCAUCAGCUGCAGCGCGUCGGCCUCACCAGGUGAGGGGUUCCAGGUGAGGGAUUGCAGGUGAUCUCCAGGGUCCAGGUGAGCUCCAGGUGAGCUCCAGGUGAGCUCCACCAGGUGAGGGGUUCCAGGUGAGGGAUUCCAGGUGAGGGGUUCCAGGUGAGUUCCACCAGGUGAGGGGUUCCAGGUGAGGGAUUCCAGGUGAGUUCCAGGUGAGCUCCACCAGGUGAAGGAUUGCAGGUGAGGGAUUCCAG